rnacentral:snoRNA from 1 species
CCCAGCUGUAGGCAGCCACCCAGGUUGCCUUGUACCUAGGCAAGUGUUACACUGCUGGGAGAAAAGAAGCCAAUAACUGGCUGGCCUUACGGAUCAUU